GACGUAGGGCGCGAGCGUUGUCCGGAUUUAUUGGGCGUAAAGAGCUCGUAGGCGGCUUGUUGCGUCGACUGUGAAAGCCCGUGGCUUAACCGCGUGGUCUGCAGUCGAUACGGGCAGGCUAGAGUUCGGUAGGGGAGACUGGAAUUCCUGGUGUAGCGGUGAAAUGCGCAGAUAUCAAGAGGAACACCUGCGGCGAAGGCGGGUUGCUGGGCUGACACUGACGCUGAAGCGCGAAAGCCAGGGGAGCUAACGGG
rnacentral:rRNA from 1 species